UGGGGAAUUUUGGACAAUGGGCGAAAGCCUGAUCCAGCAAUGCCGCGUGUGUGAAGAAGGCCUUCGGGUUGUAAAGCACUUUUGUCCGGAAAGAAAUCCUCUGGGUUAAUACCUCGGGGGGAUGACGGUACCGGAAGAAUAAGCACCGGCUAACUACGUGCCAGCAGCCGCGGUAAUACGUAGGGUGCAAGCGUUAAUCGGAAUUACUGGGCGUAAAGCGUGCGCAGGCGGUUUUGUAAGACGGAUGUGAAAUCCCCGGGCUUAACCUGGGAACUGCAUUCGUGACUGCAAGGCUAGAGUAUGGCAGAGGGGGGUAGAAUUCCACGUGUAGCAGUGAAAUGCGUAGAGAUGUGGAGGAAUACCGAUGGCGAAGGCAGCCCCCUGGGCCAAUACUGACGCUCAUGCACGAAAGCGUGGGGAGCAAACAGGAUUAGAUACCCUGGUAGUCCACGCCCUAAACGAUGUCAACUAGUUGUCGGGUCUUCAUUGACUUGGUAACGUAGCUAACGCGUGAAGUUGACCGCCUGGGGAGUACGGUCGCAAGAUUAAAACUCAAAGGAAUUGACGGGGUC
rnacentral:rRNA from 1 species